rnacentral:rRNA from 1 species
AGGUAAGCUACUAAGAGCGAAUGGUGGAUGCCUUGACUGGUAAAGGCGAUGAAGGACGUACUAGACUGCGAUAAGCUACGGGGAGCUGUCAAGAAGCUUUGAUCCGUAGAUUUCCGAAUGGGGCAACCCAAUGUAUAGAGAUAUACAUUACCUAUAUAGGAGCGAACGAGGGGAAUUGAAACAUCUUAGUACCCUCAGGAAAAGAAAUCAAUAGAGAUUGCGUCAGUAGCGGCGAGCGAAAGCGCAAGAGGGCAAACCCAGUGCUUGCACUGGGGGUUGUAGGACUGCAAUGUGCAAGAGGUAAGUUUAGCAGAACAUUCUGGAAAGUAUAACCAUAGAGGGUGAUAGUCCCGUAUGCGAAAAACAAACCUUAGCUAGCAGUAUCCUGAGUAGGGCGGGACACGAGGAAUCCUGUCUGAAUCCGGGUCGACCACGAUCCAACCCUAAAUACUAAUACCAGAUCGAUAGUGCACAAGUACCGUGAGGGAAAGGUGAAAAGAACUGAGGUGAUCAGAGUGAAAUAGAACCUGAAACCAUUUGCUUACAAUCAUUCAGAGCCCUAUGUAGCAAUACAGGGUGAUGGACUGCCUUUUGCAUAAUGAGCCUGCGAGUUGUGGUGUCUGGCAAGGUUAAGCAAACGCGAAGCCGUAGCGAAAGCGAGUCUGAAUAGGGCGCUUAGUCAGAUGCUGCAGACCCGAAACGAAGUGAUCUAUCCAUGAGCAAGUUGAAGCUAGUGUAAGAACUAGUGGAGGACUGAACCCAUAGGCGUUGAAAAGCCCCGGGAUGACUUGUGGAUAGGGGUGAAAGGCCAAUCAAACUUCGUGAUAGCUGGUUCUCUCCGAAAUAUAUUUAGGUAUAGCGUUGUGUCGUAAUAUAAGGGGGUAGAGCACUGAAUGGGCUAGGGCAUACACCAAUGUACCAAACCCUAUCAAACUCCGAAUACCUUAUAUGUAAUCACAGCAGUCAGGCGGCGAGUGAUAAAAUCCGUCGUCAAGAGGGAAACAACCCAGACUACCAGCUAAGGUCCCUAAAUCUUACUUAAGUGGAAAACGAUGUGAAGUUACUUAAACAACCAGGAGGUUGGCUUAGAAGCAGCCAUCCUUUAAAGAAAGCGUAAUAGCUCACUGGUCUAGUGAUUUUGCGCGGAAAAUAUAACGGGGCUAAAGUAAGUACCGAAGCUGUAGACUUAGUUUACUAAGUGGUAGGAGAGCGUUCUAUUUGCGUCGAAGGUAUACCGGUAAGGAGUGCUGGAGCGAAUAGAAGUGAGCAUGCAGGCAUGAGUAGCGAUAAUUAAUGUGAGAAUCAUUAACGCCGUAAACCCAAGGUUUCCUACGCGAUGCUCGUCAUCGUAGGGUUAGUCGGGUCCUAAGUCGAGUCCGAAAGGGGUAGACGAUGGCAAAUUGGUUAAUAUUCCAAUACCAACAUUAGUGUGCGAUGGAAGGACGCUUAGGGCUAAGGGGGCUAGCGGAUGGAAGUGCUAGU